UACGUAGGGCGCAAGCGUUGUCCGGAAUUAUUGGGCGUAAAGAGCUCGUAGGCGGUUUGUCGCGUCUGCUGUGAAAAUCCGGGGCUCAACCCCGGACUUGCAGUGGGUACGGGCAGACUAGAGUGUGGUAGGGGAGACUGGAAUUCCUGGUGUAGCGGUGAAAUGCGCAGAUAUCAGGAGGAACACCGAUGGCGAAGGCAGGUCUCUGGGCCACUACUGACGCUGAGAAGCGAAAGCAUGGGGAGCGAACAGG
rnacentral:rRNA from 1 species